AACAAACAAAGCUAUAGUACAUCAUCCACCAAGAAAUCCCAAUCCAAUUGAAGGAACAGAGAGAUCAGGACUCCGAUGGAACAUCGGAGUUAUAACCACUAGAAAUCGCAGCCGGAGUCGUGGAGUAAGACGUAGUAAAACCUGCUCCUCCUUCAUUGUGCCUGCCCCUUUUAACAAGAGAAGCAAAGGUUGAAGAAACAGACUGAAUUAGACCUUUGAAAAUCUUCACUUUUAUCUGGCCUCUCCUAGGAGGGAGGGAUUGCUGGUGGCGGCGUUGGUGCUGUGGGGUGGAGUUAGAGGAUGAAAGCUCCAUUUUCUUUAAGAUGGGUAGUGAUCAGAAUCUUGAAGAAACAGAGGAAAGCAGAACAGAGAGAGGAAACAGAGGCAAGAAGAGUCUCUCUGAGGUAAGCAGAGGGAGAGUGUAAGAGACCCAAAUUCUGAGCAAGAAGGAAGAGAAGAGUGCUUUUUGACGUAGAAACAGG
rnacentral:misc_RNA from 1 species